rnacentral:rRNA from 1 species
GUGCCAGCCGCCGCGGUAAUACGGGGGGUGCAAGCGUUGUUCGGAUUUAUUGGGCGUAAAGCGCGUGUAGGCGGUUUGUUAAGUCUGUUGUGAAAGCCCUGGGCUCAACCCGGGAAGUGCACUGGAUACUGGCAAACUUGAAUACGGGAGAGGAGAGUGGAAUUCCUGGUGUAGGAGUGAAAUCCGUAGAUAUCAGGAGGAACACCGGUGGCGAAGGCGGCUCUCUGGACCGAUAUUGACGCUGAGACGCGAAAGCGUGGGUAGCAAACAGGAUUAGAAACCCCCGUAGUCC